UUACAAAAAAAGGCCCAAAAAGUUCCAUUUUUGGGCCCAGGGGAAAUGGCUCUCAGGGAGCCUGCGCUAAACACAGAGGUCCUUGGCUGGAUACUGACAUGAAGGGAAUGUCAUUUCACAAGAACACUGCAUUAAUUAAAAGUGUAGUACAGGGUGUGCAUGCUGCUAGCCA
rnacentral:sRNA from 1 species